rnacentral:rRNA from 1 species
AGGAAAAGAAACUAACAAGGAUUCCCCUAGUAACUGCGAGUGAAGCGGGAAAAGCUCAAAUUUAAAAUCUGGCGGUCUCUGGCCGUCCGAGUUGUAAUCUAGAGAAGUAAUGCCCGUGCUGGACCGUGUAUAAGUCUCCUGGGAUGGGGCGUCAUAGAGGGUGAGAAUCCCGUCUUUGACACGGACUACCAGUGCAUUGUGGUAUGCUCUCAAAGAGUCGAGUUGUUUGGGAAUGCAGCUCAAAAUGGGUGGUAAAUUCCAUCUAAAGCUAAAUAUUGGCGAGAGACCGAUAGCGAACAAGUACCGUGAGGGAAAGAUGAAAAGAACUUUGGAAAGAGAGUUAAACAGUACGUGAAAUUGCUGAAAGGGAAACGCUUGAAGUCAGUCGCGUUGGCCGGGGAUCAGCCUUGCUUUUGCAUGGUGUACUUUCUGGUUGAUGGGUCAGCAUCAAUUUUGACCGCUGGAAAAAGACCUGGGGAAUGUGGCAGCUUCGGCUGUGUUAUAGCCCCUAGUCGCAUACAGUGGUUGGGAUUGAGGAACUCAGCACGCCGCAAGGCCGGGUUUCGACCACGUUCGUGCUUAGGAUGCUGGCAUAAUGGCUUUAAGCGACCCGUCUUGAAACACGGACCAAGGAGUCUAACAUGCCUGCGAGUAUUUGGGUGGAAAACCCAAGUGCGUAAUGAAAGUGAAAGUUGAGAUCCCUGUCGUGGGGAGCAUCGACGCCCGGACCAGAACUUUUGGGACGGAUCCGCGGUGGAGCAUGUAUGUUGGGACCCGAAAGAUGGUGAACUAUGCCUGAAUAGGGUGAAGCCAGAGGAAACUCUGGUGGAGGCUCGUAGCGAUUCUGACGUGCAAAUCGAUCGUCAAAUUUGGGUAUAGGGGCGAAAGACU